GCGGAGGAGAAGGAAUUAACAAAGAUUCCCUCAGUAACGGCGAGUGAAGUGGGAUGUAGCCCAGCACCGAAUCCGCUCGGCCUUGCGCCUUGUGGACCUGUGGUGUUUGGGGCCCCAGCUUUUGUCUAGUGUCCAUGCUCCUCAGUCGCAUUGAAGGGCUGUUGCUCCGUAGCGGGUGUCAGACCCUUGUGUAGAGGUGGAUCGGGCGAAGGUUCGAGGGGCCUCUCGAGUCGGGUUGUUUGAGAUUGCAGCCCAAAGACGGUGGUAAGCUCCAUCGAAGGCUAAACAUUGUCACGAGUCCGAUAGCGAACAAGUACCGUGAGGGAACGUUGAAAAGAACUUCGAAGAGAGAGUUCAAUAGUACGUGAAACCGCCUAGAGGGAAACGAGUGGCUCCGCAUUGUCGGCCUGCGGCGUUCAUUUCGAUGUGCAACGUGCGUCAGCCUGUGGUUGUCGAUCGGUCUGUGGUCUUCGGAUUCAGACCUCGUCUCACUAACUACAUGGUGCGAUGCUCGCACUCGAGUGCAUUCGCUGCGAGGCAGGGCGUCACGAUCGCUUUCUGGUGAGCAAACGACGAGCAUGCCGGCUCGUGCGGACGUCUUCGCGACUGUUCGACUCGUGCGGCGGCCGUCCAGCUUGCUGGAGAGUGUGUAACGAUCACCGCGCUCGCAUGGGCAAGACUGUCUCUGUUGUCGAAGGACGAGUUGGUGCUACCCUCGUGGUAGUCUGGCAGUCCAAGCGACAGAGGGGCUGGCCCUGCGUGGUUUUGGAUCGGUGGCGAUUGAGUCGGCCUG
rnacentral:rRNA from 1 species